UGAAGUAUGCUGGUGAUGAAUGUAAGUAGGUAUUCCUAAAGCUUCCAUGGCGGUAAGUCUUCUCAUGAUAAACACUAUAAACAGUGACGAUUAAUGGACCCGUUUAUUCUUUAUUGCAAUUUUUCACAAUAAUUAUAUUUUCUGAAGUCUUGACGGCUGCCGAGACAUCACCUUCAUGGAGACCAUUCCAGUCUCUCUUGUGGUGCUGGUGUGACGUCCCUGACAUUUAGGUAUCUAUCCUCGUGCAAGUUGUUACUAUAUCUUCUCUUUUUCACGUGCUGGUUAACCUAUAAAAAAUAACAAGAGGGGGAAAAAAGCAAAGGGCUGUUGUACUUCAUUUCUACAGCAUAAUACAUACUAUGAGCUGGACCAGGACUUUCAAUUUGGCCACUAGAGGUCACAUGCUUGGCAGGAAGAUCUUCACUCAUGAUGCUCCAUACUCUACACCGUCUACCUUAUCUUCACCUUGACAGCAUUUCCUGCUUGUGUAGAGCAUAUGUCAGGGGUUGAUAAGGACCUCCCUCCCUGUAUGCACUCUUCAGGGAUGUAACCCCCAGUUGGGUGAAGGCCAUAAUAAAGUAGAGUUGUGGAAGCUGGAGUAAUCUCGUAACUUGUCUUCAUCACCGCCUGCAUUCAUAGCCUCCAGUUCCAGGCUAGGUAAAAGAUGUAAGGUUAGUCCUUUCUAUGCCACUUUACAAUUUUUUUUUCUUAAACAAAGAGAUUUUACCUUUAAUAAUUCUGAUUUGGUUGGUAUUGUCAGUCAUGUAAUGAAUUAUUACAAAUUUAGUAAUGAUUUGGUAGUUUAAUGGUUUCCCCGAGUAGCAGUGACCAAGUUUAAGGCAGAGGAGUUUGUAUGUAAUAUAAAGCAAGAAAAUUAUUUGUUUUUGUGAACUGGUUUGUCCAGGCACAAAUUUUUUAACCAAAGAGAAUGGUUUAAACUGCCAUUUGUGGUAAAAUAUGAGGGUUUUAGACAGAUGUCUUGCUGGACUUGUCAAGAAAUCUUUGAUUCAUGUACCUAAAGGUAGUAAUUGUUCAUGGGUAGGAUUAUUUACAUAUUUUUGAAAGG